CCUACGGGGGGCUGCAGUGGGGAAUAUUGGACAAUGGGGGCAACCCUGAUCCAGCCAUGCCGCGUGUGUGAAGAAGGCCCUCGGGUUGUAAAGCACUUUCAGUGAGGAAGAACGCCUGGUGGUUAAUACCCAUCAGGAAAGACAUCACUCACAGAAGAAGCACCGGCUAACUCCGUGCCAGCAGCCGCGGUAAUACGGAGGGUGCGAGCGUUAAUCGGAAUUACUGGGCGUAAAGCGCGCGUAGGUGGCUUGAUAAGCCGGUUGUGAAAGCCCCGGGCUCAACCUGGGAACGGCAUCCGGAACUGUCAAGCUAGAGUGCAGGAGAGGAAGGUAGAAUUCCCGGUGUAGCGGUGAAAUGCGUAGAGAUCGGGAGGAAUACCAGUGGCGAGGGCGGCCUUCUGGACUGACACUGACACUGAGGUGCGAAAGCGUGGGUAGCAAACAGGAUUAGAUACCCUUGUAGUC
rnacentral:rRNA from 1 species